GACGUAGGGCGCGAGCGUUGUCCGGAUUUAUUGGGCGUAAAGAGCUCGUAGGCGGCUUGUUGCGUCGACUGUGAAAACCCGCGGCUUAACUGCGGGCUUGCAGUUGAUACGGGCAGGCUAGAGUUCGGUAGGGGAGACUGGAAUUCCUGGUGUAGCGGUGAAAUGCGCAGAUAUCAGGAGGAACACCGGUGGCGAAGGCGGGUCUCUGGGCCGAUACUGAAGCUGAGGAGCGAAAGCGUGGGGAGCGAACAGG
rnacentral:rRNA from 1 species